UGGGGAAUAUUGCACAAUGGGCGCAAGCCUGAUGCAGCCAUGCCGCGUGUGUGAAGAAGGCCUUCGGGUUGUAAAGCACUUUCAGCGGGGAGGAAGGCGAUAAGGUUAAUAACCUCAUCGAUUGACGUUACCCGCAGAAGAAGCACCGGCUAACUCCGUGCCAGCAGCCGCGGUAAUACGGAGGGUGCAAGCGUUAAUCGGAAUUACUGGGCGUAAAGCGCACGCAGGCGGUUGAUUGAGUCAGAUGUGAAAUCCCCGGGCUUAACCCGGGAAUUGCAUCUGAUACUGGUCAGCUAGAGUCUUGUAGAGGGGGGUAGAAUUCCAGGUGUAGCGGUGAAAUGCGUAGAGAUCUGGAGGAAUACCGGUGGCGAAGGCGGCCCCCUGGACGAAGACUGACGCUCAGGUGCGAAAGCGUGGGGAGCAAACAGG
rnacentral:rRNA from 1 species